UUUUGGGUUGGGUUUUUUUGCCAACCCUGAUAGCUAAUACAUUAAGACAGCAACAAUGGACUAAGUCAAACAAAGCCAGUCCAAAAUUUGGACAACUUUCUAAAUCCAAAAAAUCAUCUUCUUUGUUGGCGUUAGUAAAUUCAGCUCAACCUGUUUUAAGUAAAGAACAGUUACUUCAUGAAGUUGAGAUUGAGCUGCAGAAGAAUAAGCCUUUAACUCAAGUUUUGGCAAUUUUAAAUCGGACUUUGUUUGAGCCCCAGAUAUUUAAAAGAUCGACUGCAAUUAUCUCCAUCUCUUCUUAUAAGCGAGUUUUGCAGGCUUUAUCCCAUGUUUUCAGAUUUCGAAAGUAAUUCUAAAGAGUUUUGCAAUUUAGUUUUUUCCGAUAGGUCGGUUUUUUUGAAUUUAAUAAAAUUUCAAAGUGAUGUCUCCUGUAAAAAGUCUUCUUCCAAUGCUUUCCAUGUAACUCAGUCUGAUAAUCUGGAUGAAAUGCUGGGAGUAUCGAUACCUGGUCCACAAGUAGUAUUCAAUGAAACCCAUUUUAUGAUUUGUAGCAGAAAUGGAUGUGAGCUGAAGAAAGCACAGAUUUCAUCAGCCAGCAAAGUGUUUUGUUGCAUCAUUGCCAUUACUAU